rnacentral:sRNA from 1 species
CGGCGGAAAGCGGGGGAACCAGUUUCGCAGGGGUUAAUCCACCCUUUGGUGGUAGGGCUACCCACGGCCCGCACCCGUCAGCUAACCUCGUAAGCGUUAGUAGGGGG